GGAAGAUAAUGACGGUACCCAACAAGGAAGUGACGGCUAACUACGUGCCAGCAGCCGCGGUAAAACGUAGGUCACAAGCGUUGUCCGGAAUUACUGGGUGUAAAGGGAGCGCAGGCGGGAAGACAAGUUGGAAGUGAAAUCUAUGGGCUCAACCCAUAAACUGCUUUCAAAACUGUUUUUCUUGAGUAGUGCAGAGGUAGGCGGAAUUCCCGGUGUAGCGGUGGAAUGCGUAGAUAUCGGGAGGAACACCAGUGGCGAAGGCGGCCUACUGGGCACCAACUGACGCUGAGGCUCGAAAGUGUGGGUAGCAAACAGGAUUAGAUACCCUGGUAGUCCACACCGUAAACGAUGGAUUACUUGGGGUUGGAGGAGUGACCCCCUCCGUGCCGCAAGCUAACACAAUAAGUAAUCCACCUGGGGAGUACGACCGCAAGGUUGAAACUCAAAGGAAAUGACGGGGGCCCGCACAAGCAGUGGAGUAUGUGGUUUAAUUCGACGCAACGCGAAGAACCUUACCAAGUCUUGACAUCCCUUGACAGGCAUAGAAAUAUGUUUUCUCUUCGGAGCAAGGAGACAGGUGGUGCAUGGUUGUCGUCAGCUCGUGUCGUGAGAUGUUGGGUUAAGUCCCGCAACGAGCGCAACCCUUAUGGUCAGUUACUACGCAAGAGGACUCUGGCCAGACUGCCGUUGACAAAACGGAGGAAGGUGGGGAUGACGUCAAAUCAUCAUGCCCUCUAUGACUUGGGCUACACACGUACUACAAUGGCGUUAAACAAAGAGAAGCGAGACCGCGAGGUGGAGCAAAACUCAGAAACAACGUCCCAGUUCGGACUGCAGGCUGCAACUCGCCUGCACGAAGUCGGAAUUGCUAGUAAUCGUGGAUCAGCAUGCCACGGUGAAUACGUUCCCGGGCCUUGCACACACCGCCCAAGG
rnacentral:rRNA from 1 species